rnacentral:rRNA from 1 species
GACGAACGCUGGCGGCGUGCCUAAUACAUGCAAGUAGAACGCUGAAGGAGGAGCUUGCUCUUCUGGAUGAGUUGCGUACGGGUGAGUAACGCGUAGGUAACCUGCCUGGUAGCGGGGGAUAACUAUUGGAAACGAUAGCUAAUACCGCAUAACAGUAGAUGUUGCAUGACAUUUGCUUAAAAGGUGCAAUUGCACCACUACCAGAUGGACCUGCGUUGUAUUAGCUAGUUGGUGGGGUAACGGCUCACCAAGGCGACGAUACAUAGCCGACCUGAGAGGGUGAUCGGCCACACUGGGACUGAGACACGGCCCAGACUCCUACGGGAGGCAGCAGUAGGGAAUCUUCGGCAAUGGACGGAAGUCUGACCGAGCAACGCCGCGUGAGUGAAGAAGGUUUUCGGAUCGUAAAGCUCUGUUGUAAGAGAAGAACGAGUGUGAGAGUGGAAAGUUCACACUGUGACGGUAUCUUACCAGAAAGGGACGGCUAACUACGUG